rnacentral:rRNA from 1 species
UACGGAGGGGGCUAGCGUUGUUCGGAAUUACUGGGCGUAAAGCGCGCGUAGGCGGACCUGCAAGUCGGGGGUGAAAGCCCGAGGCUCAACCUCGGAACUGCCUUCGAUACUGCGGGUCUCGAGUCCGGGAGAGGUGAGUGGAAUUCCUAGUGUAGAGGUGAAAUUCGUAGAUAUUAGGAAGAACACCAGUGGCGAAGGCGGCUCACUGGCUCGGUACUGACGCUGAGGCGCGAAAGCGUGGGGAUCAAACAGG